UACGAAGGGGGCUAGCGUUAAUCGGAAUUACUGGGCGUAAAGCGUGCGCAGGCGGCUAUGCAAGACAGAUGUGAAAUCCCCGGGCUCAACCUGGGAACUGCAUUUGUGACUGCAUGGCUAGAGUGCGGCAGAGGGGGAUGGAAUUCCGCGUGUAGCAGUGAAAUGCGUAGAUAUGCGGAGGAACACCGAUGGCGAAGGCAAUCCCCUGGGCCUGCACUGACGCUCAUGCACGAAAGCGUGGGGAGCAAACAGG
rnacentral:rRNA from 1 species